UAAGGAAUAUUGGUCAAUGGAGGCAACUCUGAACCAGCCAUGCCGCGUGCAGGAAGACAGCCCUCUGGGUCGUAAACUGCUUUUAUCGGGGAAUAAACCUACUUACGUGUAAGUAGCUGAAUGUACCAGAAGAAUAAGGAUCGGCUAACUCCGUGCCAGCAGCCGCGGUAAUACGGAGGAUCCAAGCGUUAUCCGGAUUUAUUGGGUUUAAAGGGUGCGUAGGCGGCCUGUUAAGUCAGGGUUGAAAGACGGUAGCUCAACUUGCGCAGUGCCCUUGAUCCUGACAGGCUUGAAUGAACUAGAGGUAGGCGGAAUGUGACAAGUAGCGGUGAAAUGCAUAGAUAUGUCACAGAACACCGAUUGCGAAGGCAGCUUACUAUGGUUUUAUUGACGCUGAGGCACGAAAGCGUGGGGAUCAAACAGG
rnacentral:rRNA from 1 species